UGACUUCGGAUCAGGUAGGGAUACCCGCUGAACUUAAGCAUAU
rnacentral:rRNA from 1 species